GGACCCACCAUUUUCCUGGGAAGGACAUCAUAGGAACAGAGCUCAGCAUUUCAGACCUGGGGGUUAGAAGCAGAGGUGGGGGUGGGGCGCUGUGAAAUUAGGAAACUUAGAUGGGUCUUGCAGAAAUAGGUGUGGCUCCACAGGUCAGGGAAUUACAGGUCAAUUGGAUAGGCACCUGAGAGUGUUGUGGGGCUGGAAAGCUGGGGUGAGUGAGGCUGCCUGGGUAUUCCGCUUAGGUCUAGGCAUCCUGGCUGAAUACCUUAGAUUUCAGUUCACCACCAGAGAAGCCCGGAAACUCCAGUAAACACAUAUCUUUGGUCCCUUCUACCUGCCUCUAGAUUGGCUGGUUGAGGCUCAGCUUCUCUCUAACUAGACUUCUGGCUUAUAGGGUGCAGCCGCUUGGGAGCGCAAAGAAGGAGAAGGUAAGAAAAAGGAGAGAAAUGCAGAGAGAGGAGAGGAUGAGAUGACGGUGUGGAAAAUAUCGGAGGGUGCGUACUGCCCUCAAGUGCACUGGGGGCUUUUGUCCAGGAUCAGAGUAAAGACAAAGACGAGGCUGCUCAUGGAAGCUGCAGAAACAGCGCCUGUGGGAAUAAGGGGUGUGAGAUACGAGACCAUGGGAGUGGGCAAUGUAAAGACCUGCAUUUAUUUAUUUAUUUUUUUAUUUUGAGACAGGGUCUUACUCUGUCGCCCAGACUGGAGCGCAGUGGCACGAUCUCGGCUCACCGCAACCUCCGCCUACCAGCUACUCAGGAGGCUGAGGCAGGAGAAUGGCUUGAACCCGGAAGGCAGAGGUUGCAGUGAACCGAACGUGCCACUGCACUCCAGCCUGGGCAACAGAGCGAGACUCUGUGUCAAAAAAAUAAUUUUUUUUUUUUUUAAGAGACUGGGUCUCACUGUCACCCAGGCUGGAGUACAAUGAUGCGAUCUUGGCUCACUAUAACUUUGACCUCCUAGGCUCAAGCGUCCUCCCACAUCAGCCUUCUGAGUAGGACUACAGGUGCACACAAGCAUGUCCAGCUAAUUAAAAUUUUUUUUUCGUAGAGAUGGGGUCUCACUGUGUUGCCCAGCCUGGUCUUGAACUCCUGGCCUUCAGAAGUCCUCCUGCAUCAACCUCCCAUAUUGCUGGGAUUACAGGUGUGAGCCACCAUGCCUGGCUUCUUCUUUUGAUCCCUCCUCCCUAUUCUCAUUCCUCUCCCUGUGUCAGUAUAUGUUUGGAUAUGUAUGUAUCUUUGAAAAUAUAUGUAAUUAUGUGCCUAUAUGUUUUAAUAUAUAUAAAUGGUAUACUUUUAUGGUAAGCCAACUUCUGUAAUGAAUUGCUCCCAUAUUUCAGUGAUUUAACACCACAGAUUUAUUUUUCACUUAUUCUACAUGGCACGGGUGUUUCUGGUUGGACAGCUCUCCUCCACUGUCCACGCCAGCUCCCAGGCUUCUUUUGUUUUCAGAUGGUGAUAGCCUCAUCCCAGCAUCAUAAAGUUUCCUGUCAACUUUUCACCAAGUUGUUUUACUAUCCAUUGAUUAUUGUUUUAUGAAUUGCUUAUUUCACUGGGGAUUACAGAAUGGUGAUUUUCUAAGGCUAUUAAUUUUUCCUCAUUUAUUAGUUCUAAUUCUGUACCAAAAACCUUUUUUCACAUCCUCUAGGACCAUUUGAUUACUCUGAAAUAAAGUUCAUACCAAAAUGGCAAGAUAAAUGCUUAAAUCUUUUCCCUUAUCAUUUUCAAAGUAGUUAUGUCCUAACAAUUUCCAAUGGUGUUCAAUGAUUUUUUUUGUUUCACUCUCUCUUUUUAAAUGAUCUCAAACAACCUGUAGUUCUUAUACAUUUAAUGUUGUUUAAUCAUUUGCCAUUAUUUUUUGCUUUACAUUAUAUAAAGUAUCAAGCAUAUACAAAAGUAGAGAAAAUCGUGUAAUGAUUUCCCAGGGACCUAUCACUCAGCUUCAAUAAUUAUCAAUUUACGGCCAAUCUUGGUCGAUUUAUUCCCUCAACUACUUGCCCCCUAACCAAGAUUCUUUUGAAGCAAAACCGAUAUCAUACCAAUUUACUCUGUAAAUGUUUUAGCAUGUAUCUCUAAAAGACAAGGAUUUUUAUUACCAUUAUUGCACCUAAAAAGUUAAUAAAUUGUCAGUAUAAUAA
rnacentral:lncRNA from 1 species